rnacentral:lncRNA from 1 species
UCAGACCCUGGGCUCCUGGUCCUAACCCUGGGCCUUUUCCACUUUACUCCUCUGUUGCCCGCCUCUCCCAUCCAUGGGGUCAGAGACGUUGGCUCCCGAGGGUCCACCUGAGCACCCCGGGGGCGGCGAGGCCGAGAAGGUUCCAGGAUACCCGGACUGACGAGAGUCUCAGCGAACACGGGGGCAACCAGAGAUCGGCGGCCACGAGUGCUGGGUCCACGGCAAAUGACUGGUUUUCCAGCUACGCUUUCGAAGGUAGGACUGUCCAACAGAAAUAAAACGUGAGCCACAAAAUUUUAAACAUGUUAUUUUAAAUUUUGCAGUGGCCACAUCGAAAAGCUUCAAAAGAAACAGGUGAUACUCAUUUGAAUCCUACGUUUACCUAACAUGUUAAAAAUAUUCCCAUUUCAACGUGUGAUCGAUACAAUGAAAUUAUUAAUGAGAUAGUCCAUAUUCCUUUUUAUUGCACCAAGACUUCGGGGUCCAGUAUAAGUACAUCACAGCACUUCUCGUUCACACUAGCCACAUCUCUACUGCUCAGCGGCCUCAUGUGACCAGGGGCUGCCAUGUUGGAUGGUGAAGAUCUGAGUUGUAUUAUCCUGUCCGCACCCAAUCUCACAAACACAGACCGCCAGGACCAAUUCUCCAUUGGUCAGUAGCGUCAUCCCCACGAUCAGUGAUGGGUUUUUAUAGACCCGUGACCAGGAAAUUAAUCUGCCAACUGGACGUGUAAUUUUCUGGGGCCAAGUUAAAUACCAUUCCAUUUCUGGGAGGAACCUUAAAUGUGGCCUCGUCUAACUUGACAUGUGACUUCACUGAACACUGGAAGAGGCCGCAUAGCCUUCUGCGGGUCCUGGGGAUGGCGGGCUGGGAGGGAACCCACAUUUCCACACUUUUGUGCGUGAAGUGCUUAUAACA